rnacentral:lncRNA from 1 species
UUCUACAUAAUAUCUAAAAUUGAACUUAUGCCUAACAAAUUUCUUUCGCCUUGAAAUUUUAUUUUUUUGUUUUAAAUAUUAAGGGUAAAAAUUUGCCUUGUAAAUCAGAUAGCACUAAAUUUAUGCCCGGACAAACAUUUUUUAAAAAGGUUUGCCUAAAGAAAUUAAGUCAUAGCUAGGGAUACUUAAGAUAACAAAUGACUAACGCCAAAAAUAAAAACUACGAUUUGAUGGACAAAAUUUAAAUAUCACCCGAAAAUAGGAG